rnacentral:tRNA from 1 species
GAGCCAGUGGCUCAAUGGUUAGAGCGUUUGACCUCUGAUCAACUGGUCCCGGGUUCACGCUUUGGGUGGUUCA